UAUUUCCUACGGGGGGCAGCAGUGGGGAAUAUUGCACAAUGGGGGAAACCCUGAUGCAGCGACGCCGCGUGAGUGAAGAAGUAUUUCGGUAUGUAAAGCUCUAUCAGCAGGGAAGAAGAAAGACGGUACCCGACCAAGAAGCCCCGGCUAACUACGUGCCAGCAGCCGCGGUAAUACGUAGGGGGCGAGCGUUAUCCGGAAUUACUGGGUGUAAAGGGAGCGUAGACGGCCAGACAAGUCUGAAGUGAAAAUCCAGCGCUUAACGAUGGAAGUGCUUUGGAAACUGCCGGGCUAG
rnacentral:rRNA from 1 species